UCAGCGNCCAUGUGAUANUNCUAGUGCUACAAUGGACAGUAACAAAGGGCAGCGAAACCGCGAGGUUAAGCCAAUCCCACAAAUCUGUUCUCAGUUCGGAUCGCAGUCUGCAACUCGACUGCGUGAAGCUGGAAUCGCUAGUAAUCGCGGAUCAGCAUGCCGCGGUGAAUACGUUCCCGGGCCUUGUACACACCGCCCGUCACACCACGAGAGUUUGUAACACCCGAAGUCGGUGAGGUAACCUUUAUGGAGCCAGCCGCCGAAGGUGGGACAGAUGAUUGGGGUGAAGUCGUAACAAGGUA
rnacentral:rRNA from 1 species